rnacentral:misc_RNA from 1 species
GUGAAUCAUCAAAUUUUUGAACGCAAAUUGCACUCUCUUCGGAGAGUAUGCCUGUUUGAGGGUCAGCCUAAAAAAAAUCGACAUCGUUGCUGUUCCGCGGUAACAUUCGUCGGAAAUUGGGUCAUCUUAAACCUUUUGGUUUAAGCGGCUUAAAAUUUUCCUUAUGAUUCCAUGAACGUUUCUAAGAUUUUUUUCUUUUAACCGUUAAGGGUACGAUUUUUUUUUAGCCUUGCC